UACGUAGGGUGCGAGCGUUGUCCGGAAUUACUGGGCGUAAAGAGCUCGUAGGUGGUUUGUCGCGUCGUUUGUGUAAUACCGCAGCUUAACUGCGGGGUUGCAGGCGAUACGGGCAUAACUUGAGUGCUGUAGGGGAGACUGGAAUUCCUGGUGUAGCGGUGGAAUGCGCAGAUAUCAGGAGGAACACCGAUGGCGAAGGCAGGUCUCUGGGCAGUAACUGACGCUGAGGAGCGAAAGCAUGGGUAGCGAACAGGAUUAGAUACCCUGGUAGUCCAUGCCGUAAACGGUGGGCGCUAGGUGUGAGUCCCUUCCACGGGGUUCGUGCCGUAGCUAACGCAUUAAGCGCCCCGCCUGGGGAGUACGGCCGCAAGGCUAAAACUCAGAG
rnacentral:rRNA from 1 species